UGUCAGGUAAUUGUAAACUACAUAUUGUGAUGCAGAUGAUGGUACACGUUGGGCUGCUAAUGCAGUAUCAACUAACGAUUGGUGAAAUUUGCUUGGCUAAUAUAGUAUUCUUUUCUAAAAUUCCCAAGGAAUUUGGGAAAAGGCAGCGAUUUGUAUCUACUGACGAGAAAAGGUAAGCAAGUAAUAUUUUACAGGUAAGCAAUUGGUUUGAUCGUGUUGGGAAAGUAUUGGUCAAAAAGAAUAUGAAUGACAACACAAGAAAAGGUGACCAUGACAUGGAGAAACACAUUUUUCAAGUCUGCCUACUUGGCGAGCGCAACGGCAGCCGUACCGCCAUCGCCUGACACCCUCAAUAUUGGUUGGAUAUGCUCUAUGUAGAGGUCUCUCAAGAAGCAGUAUGUCGCUGAUGGUGUUCAUGAAGUGACUCCUAAUAAUGAGCAAGAUGGCAAAUCUGAUCUCAGAGAAGCUGAAUAACAAAGGAGCAAGUGGAGAAGGUUCUCAAGGCUGGUGCUAACGUUGUAUUUACCACCAAAGGGAAUCAAUGAUAUGUUAUUGAAGAGAACGACCUAUGAUCUUGGAAUUGUCCAUUCGGUGCUAUGAAGGUAUCAGGUGCUCAGUUGGAGGUACAUAUUCAAGGUUGAGGCUGACAUGCACAAUGUAGCAAGGUAGUGUCGAUCCUGGUUCUGGGAAUUGAUUUGGGCAACUUUUGGAGUUUGGUUCUCAUAUAUUGGUCCUGAAAGAUAUUUUUUUGCAAGUGGCCAAUUGAUUUUACGCUUAUUUGAAAGCCAAGCCCGCUGUGGAACUCUGAGCAAGGUGCAGUUCCCCUCCAAGUUACCCUCCAAGUGUGUAGCAUGUGAUUCGCCAUGUUGAGGAAUGCUGCAUUUACUUGCAUAUAAUCCUCCCUUUUUUUGUAAAAUUAGAGCUUAAAUCAGCUAGCCAGUAGCAACUAAAUGCCCAGGUAGGUUGAGAUGUUGAUGGAGCUGAUAAGCUCUAUUACUUUAUGAAUUAAUGAUUGCUGGUAUCACUAGGAUAGUAGUUAAUGAAUCUUGAAAUCAUGUCUCGCUAUGCAUAAUUUUGCUGAUUGGUUGCUGUUUUGAGUACAAGAAAAUAAAGAUCCGGGGCACUGAAAGCAUCCUUAUUUGUAGUUGAACCGGAUGACCACUUCUGAUGUCGUUUUGCAAUCAUGAUAUGUUCUGAAUUACUAUUGGAAGGGUGGUGAUGAUGUCGCUCUCUAGACAGCCUGGCAGAAGAUUAAGCGAUCGAUUACCUGAAGUCGUUUUAUCGUGUAGCUUACUAAUAAUCUAAGACAUCUCUAUUGUUUGGUUCAUUGUAAU